GGGCCGUUCCUCUCCUCCUUCCUCCUCUCCGGCGAUGAACCGUACAUAUUAAUAAUGUGUGGUGUCGGUUGUCGUCGGCAGCCAACCAGGAUUCUUCCUCCUCUCCCUCGUUCCUCGUCGCCACCCUCUCCCUCCUCGUGCUCGCCUCCAUCUUCUUCUUCUACUCCUUCGUCGCCUCUCUCGAGAAGUUCCUCACCUCCCGGCGCCCUGUCUCCGCCGGAUCUUCCUUCGUCGCGGCCGACGCGGGCGGAGCCGCGGUAAAAGCGCUUGAUGACAAGAUCUGGGGGAAGGAAACAGGGAGGCUUUAUGGGGAUCCGGCGGAUCCGUAGUCGGGGCUGUCGGUGGUUAGGGUUUAUGUGUACGAGAUGCCGGCCAAGUUCACCUACGAUCUUCUCUGGCUCUUCAGGAAUACCUAUAAGGAGAUGACGAAUUUGACGUCCAACGGAAGCCCCGUUCAUCGCCUCAUCGAACAGGUUCUUGCCGAUUCCCUCGCAGAAAGAUCGGACUAGUGCAUUCGCCGGAGGCGCGGAAACCCUGGGGAUCGAGGGAUUUCUUGGAGAAAAUGAUUUGAUUUCGAGACAUUUUGUGGUUGUUGAGAUUUGCUGGAGCUGAGUUCUUGCUGCGGAAACCCUCGAAAUUGAGACGUUUUGUGGAGGAAACGCUGUAGUUAUUGACGUACGACAAACCCUUGUUUGAGGUUAUUGCCACCAGAUGAGAGAAAAUAUACCUUCAGUGAUACUGUACUGUGAUAAACUAUACCACCAGGAAGCAUGAGGUUAGCUGUUGAUAGGACUUGCUUACUGCUGGCCUUUCCAAUUGCAUCUUUUUUUUGUGCUGGUUUUCUUUUUUCCUUUUGCUUUCCUUUUGGUGAAAAGGAAAUUUAAAGAGUUAAAUUUAAAGCUAGUGAAAAGCUUAGCAGCCUCUGUAAUCGUUGCAACUGUUUUUGAUUUGUCUGCAUUUGAUCUAAUGUUACCUGACACAGGAUCUCAUAA